UACGUAGGGUGCAAGCGUUAAUCGGAAUUACUGGGCGUAAAGCGUGCGCAGGCGGUGAUGCAAGUCAGGUGUGAAAUCCCCGGGCUUAACCUGGGAACUGCAUUUGUGACUGCAUCGCUGGAGUGCGGCAGAGGGGGAUGGAAUUCCGCGUGUAGCAGUGAAAUGCGUAGAUAUGCGGAGGAACACCGAUGGCGAAGGCAAUCCCCUGGGCCUGCACUGACGCUCAUGCACGAAAGCGUGGGGAGCAAACAGG
rnacentral:rRNA from 1 species